rnacentral:rRNA from 1 species
AUUGAACGCUGGCGGCGUGCCUUACACAUGCAAGUCGAACGGCAACACGAGUCCUUGCCCCCUGUGGCGAGUGGCGAACGGGUGAGUAAUACAUGGGGACACGUCCUGUAGUAGUGGGUUAACCUGCGGAAGCCGGAUUUAUACCGCAUACGAAUUUCGAACGACAGCGGGGGCACUUGUGACCUCGCGCUGUUGUGUCGUCUCAUGCCGGAUUAGCUAGUUGGUGAGGUAAAGGCCUACCAAGGCGACGAUGAGUAGCCGGCCUGAGAGGGCGACCGGCCACACUGGAACUGAGACACGGUCCAGACUCCUACGGGAGGCAGCAGUGGGGAAUCUUCGGCAAUGGGCGAAAGCCUGACGGAGCAACGCCGCGUGAGUGAAGAAGGUCUUCGGAUUGUAAAGCUCUGUUAUUAGGGAAGAACACAUGUGUAAGAAACCGGGCAGGUCUUGACGGUACCUAAACAGAAAGCCACGGCUAACUACGUG